rnacentral:rRNA from 1 species
AGAAUCAACGCUGGCGGCGUGCCUAACACAUGCAAGUCGAACGAGAAAGUGGAGCAAUCCAUGAGUAAAGUGGCGACCGGGCGAGUAACACGUGACUAACCUACCCUUGAGUGGGGGAUAACCUAGAGAAAUCUGGGCUAAUACCGCAUAAUACCUUCAGGUCAAAGGAGCAAUUCGCUUAAGGAGGGGGUCGCGGCCGAUUAGUUAGUUGGCGGGGUAAUGGCCCACCAAGACUGUGAUCGGUA